CCUACGGGAGUCAGCAGUGAGGAAUAUUGGUCAAUGGACGAGAGUCUGAACCAGCCAAGUAGCGUGAAGGAUGACUGCCCUAUGGGUUGUAAACUUCUUUUAUAUGGGAAUAAAAUGUUCCACGUGUGGGAUUUUGUAUGUACCAUAUGAAUAAGGAUCGGCUAACUCCGUGCCAGCAGCCGCGGUAAUACGGAGGAUCCGAGCGUUAUCCGGAUUUAUUGGGUUUAAAGGGAGCGUAGGUGGAUUGUUAAGUCAGUUGUGAAAGUUUGCGGCUCAACCGUAAAAUUGCAGUUGAAACUGGCAGUCGUGAGUACAGUAGAGGUGGGCGGAAUUCAUGGUGUAGCGGUGAAAUGCUUAGAUAUCACGAAGAACUCCGAGUGCGAAGGCAGCUCACUGGACUGCAACUGACACUGAGGCUCGAAAGUGUGGGUAUCAAACAGGAUUAGAUACCCUUGUAGUC
rnacentral:rRNA from 1 species